rnacentral:rRNA from 1 species
UACAGAGGGUGCGAGCGUUAAUCGGAAUUACUGGGCGUAAAGGGCGCGUAGGCGGUUUAUCAAGUGAGAUGUGAAAUCCCCGGGCUUAACCUAGGAACUGCAUCUUAAACUGAUAGGCUGGAGUACUGUAGAGGAUAGUGGAAUUUCCGGUGUAGCGGUGAAAUGCGUAGAGAUCGGAAGGAACAUCAGUGGCGAAGGCGACUGUCUGGACAGAUACUGACGCUGAGGCGCGAAAGCGUGGGGAGCAAACAGG